AAGACUUAGAUGCUAGAAAAGGCAAAGAGAGCAUCCUUCUCAGCCAAAAUGCAGUCGGGUGGGACAUGGAUUCAUUUGCUCCACAUACAACAGGAGAACAUGUAGAGGAGGAAGAAGUCCUGCUGGCUGUACCAAUACCUUUGGGACAGAGAGGAAAUGACACAGAGGAUGAGACCAGUAUGGCAGCAGUUGAAAUGAUCACACAUGGUUUCUAGAAGAUACAAGAAAGAAAGUUGUUACCCAGCAGAAGCACCGCAUUGCUACCGCAUGACGUGGACCUUGAGAGCUAAAAAAGUCUCAAAGAUAUGCUCAUAAAAAAAAAAGGAAUCAUUAAAAAUAAGGAUGCAGACACAAACUUUGGUUUAGGAAGUCUCUGAAUUGCGUUUUGACAGAAGAUGGGGGUAUGCUGUGGAGAAAACUUCAAAGUGCUAGUCCCUGUUCAUUUCUUUUUCUCUAAACCUCUGCUGUUGAUUCCUGUCAGAAACAUGUAACUGGGCAAGAGAUUUGUUCUGCUCAUCCUGUGAUUUUGAAAGAGCUGAAAGAAAACCAUGAGACAGUUUCAAUUACACUUUUGAGUAAUUUGGCUUCCUGCUCACCUAGAGGAGGUCCUUGCUGCUGUUUUCUGCUUGCUCAGCGACUCCAAUUUCACUGGGAAGCAGACCCAGAUUGCACGUGAUGAGGUCAGUUGCCCCCUCUGAUUUCUGCUCAAUGACCUGUUCUAGAGAUGCCUGUGUGGUUUAGCACCCCAUAAAAUAGAAGCAAAUGGUGAGUUACUGGGGUCCAGACACCUCCUUCAGAUUAAAGCUGUGGAUGCUCUGCUGCUCCAGGCCAGGAGGUGGGUUAGAAGUGCAAAACCAGAAGCAGUGACAGUGGGACCUAAAUGCUGCAGCAGGGUCGGGGCAGUGGUAGAUUGGGAGCCAACUGACUCAGGGAGAAGAAAUCAGCUUCAGGCCAGGAAUAAAUAUUGCACUGUGAUUGUUGCAGUUUUGGAAAAGGUGAACUUUUACCCAGGCAUGCUUUCAGGUGUGGGACAACAAUUGUGAAAAUUAUUUUCUGGUUGAGAGUGGGACAGAGCAGCUAAUGGGCUAAGAUGAGGCAUGAGAGUGGAUUAUAUGCAACACUGCUUUGCCCAGAGGAUAUGAAAAUUGCUGUCUUUGAGGGCAGUCAAAAAAAGAAUUGUUAAAACAUGAAAAAGAUGAGGAAAGUGUAAGGAUCUCCUGAGAUAUGAAGUAGAAUAUUGGGGAUGUUCCACAUGGAAGAAUAAUAAACCUGAAAUUCCUACUCAUGUAAAUUUAAAAGAACGAGUUAUAAAUGGCAUCGUAAUUUCUUUGCAUGGAAAAAUAUUGGAGAGGUAUUUAAGGAUAAACUUAUAGAUAAAAAGCACCUAAAAAUUUUAAAAAAUCAGUCAUUUUCUUUCUUUAAGAAUUUAAACACAAAGCCAGUCCUGUCCCUUUGAAUUUUGCUGAUAUUCUCUACAUUUGUUUUGCAAUUAAUGAAAAUAUUUUCUGUUUCAAUUAUGAAUUUUAAUAAUUGAAGAUUAGUUUGUCAGACUCAGCCAGAUGCACUUAGUGCUUAGUUCAUAAAAAAAAAAAGCUGAAAUAAUUGCUUAGACAUGAAGAGAUUUUACUGAGCUUAUUUGUUUACUAUCAAGUCUUGGAACAGCAAUACAGAUGUUGGAACAAAUAGUUCCUGUUACAGCUCUGUCUCUUCUCACAUUGAGUUUGAACUCAUCACUGAAGAGAUUAGUUCAGCAUUUAAAGUUUGUUGAAAUAACUUCUCAGUUCUUUGAAUACUAAGAUUUCAUUAUCUGCAGAGAUCAGCAGAUUAAUGACCCACUAAUUAAUUAAAAAGCCCACUGCUGUUGUAUUAAUAUUCCUCAUCAAAGAAAAAGUAUUUCCAUCUGGAGGAACCAUAAAGGCUGAUUUGAAUAUUUGUUCCCUUGAAGAAAUGGUACUUACUCUGCUUGUUUUGCUCUGGACCAAUUCUAUCCAGCCAUGAAUUAUCACCAGUUGUAAAUCCCUGGCAGUCACAACUCAAAGAGUGAAAUGAGGAGAUACUGAUUCUGUGAUAUUUACAUGAAAGAUCAAAGACAUUGUGCUUCAGAAUGGAACACAUUGAGCUUUGAUGAGCCAUGGGGAACUUGGCCUCAUGGUUUGCCAUUCAAAACUUCUUUCAAUUUUUCCUGCAAGUGGUAAAUGCAUACUUUUUACAAGUAUAUUUUUUUUGUCUAUAAAACCUCCUCAGAGAGAGCAGGAUCUCCAGCUGCAGAGUACUGCACUCAGUAGCAAUGCAGCCUCCACUACGUUAUACUCUGCACACAGACUUUAAAGUAUUCCUGAUUUUUCAACACUAAUAACCUCCAAAGGGAGGCGAAGCUUAGGCAUCACCUAUUUAUUUAUUAAUUUCAUUGCUGAUGCUGCCAGACACCUUUCUUUUUAUUGCCACUUUGCUAAUUGUUUUCAGAAUGUAUGUGUCCACUUGCAACCACAGCAGGACCAUCAAACCACACCAUGUAGCCACAGACAGAUAAGAUUUGGUGAGCACUAAGAGAGUUACGGAGUUAAAAAAUUGCAUUCAAUUAUGGUGAAAGAAACAUGUAAUUGGGAGCCAUUUUCAGAGGUGGCAAGUGACAGUGAAGAUAAAGAGAUCUGAGUUUUGUGUUAGGCAAAAAAAUUUGGCGUAGUUUCCAUUAUUUUAUUGAGAUUUAGCCUGAAAGCCUAACAAGGCAUCCUUAGACCUCACAUAUGGAGACAAAUUCAGUAAAAGCAUGAUACCAGAAUAGGUAGAUAAUUAUCACAUAGUGAUUUCUGAAAAUGAUCACCUUUUAACUAAUCAAGCAAUAUUUUAGAUAUCACAAUGGACAUCAGCUCUGUUGCUGGAAAAAGUAACCAAUUUCUUUCACAGAGUGGAAUAAUUGUCACUAAAAGCAGAGGAGGUGCUUCCUUAAUCCAAAAUAAUAUAAUGUAAAAGCAGUAUAAUUAUAUGGGGGGUGUUACGUAUAGGGUAAAAGAAUGAUUAAGGAAGAUGCUCUGUACAGAACAAAAGUGAUUAAGAAAGCAAUCAGGCACUAAUGUACUGUACUGUUUUAAAUGAGAUUUAAUUCCUGGUACAUGAUUUGUCUCAUUUGUGCUCACUUUGAGAGCCAAGAGAAUCCAGUUAUUUUCCUGUAGCCACCAAGUAUGCAACGGCUACUGCGAGGUGAAGUACAGCACCAUAAUUGUGCUAAAUUAUUUGAAAAGGGUAAUUAUUCAAUAUAUGCUCUCUAGUAUCUAUAUUUUGAAAGCUACAGGGAGUGGCCUCCCCACUGGUGAUUUCUCCUCUGCAAGCAGGGACAAGAGCCAAGAAAGCUGCCAGCAAUGGUUCAAGGCUCAGGCUGGCACAGAGCUCUGUGCAGGUCAGGGCAGUCACAAUGUUUGAUCCCUACCAGGAUUGAGGAUGGCACUGCCUUUGUUCUCUGUACUGUUAGUUUUCAGUAAAGUGGUAGUGGUGUCACAAAUUGAGGUUAAGGUCUGGAGAGUAAUUGUCACAGCACAUCUCAUUUGGUAUGAAAAUUACUCUUGUUUUUCAGUUCCCUCUUUUCUGGGUCUGCAUGGAUAGACCAAAUAUAAC